GACCAGACUCCUACGGGAGGCAGCAGUGGGGGAUAUUGCACAAUGGGGGAAACCCUGAUGCAGCGACGCCGCGUGGGUGAAGAGGUAUUUCGGUAUGUAAAGCCCUAUCAGCAGGGAAGAAAGAAGACGGUACCUGACUAAGAAGCCCCGGCUAACUACGUGCCAGCAGCCGCGGUAAUACGUAGGGGGCGAGCGUUAUCCGGAUUCACUGGGUGUAAAGGGAGCGUAGACGGCCGUGCAAGCCAGGAGUGAAAGCCCGGGGCCCAACCCCGGGACUGCUCUUGGAACUGUGCGGCUGGAGUGCGGGAGGGGCAGGCGGAAUUCCUAGUGUAGCGGUGAAAUGCGUAGAUAUUAGGAGGAACACCAGUGGCGAAGGCGGCUUACUGGACUGUAACUGACGUUGAGGCUCGAAAGCGUGGGGAGCAAACAGGAUUAGAUACCCUUGUAC
rnacentral:rRNA from 1 species